rnacentral:rRNA from 1 species
CGGAGGUAGAGCAACAGGGAUUGCCUCAGUAACGGCGAGUGAAGCGGCAAGAGCUCAGAUUUGAAAGCUAGCAUCUUUGAUGUUCGCAUUGUAAUCUGUAGAGGAGUGUUCGAGCAUAGCUUUGACCCAAGUUCUUUGGAACAAGAUGUCAUGGAGGGUGAGAAUCCCGUUCAUGGUUGUUGUCUUAUGCUUAUGUGAAUCUCCUUCAAUGAGUCGAGUUGUUUGGGAAUGCAGCUCUAAAUGGGUGGUAUAUUUCAUCUAAAGCUAAAUAUCAGCAGGAGACCGAUAGUGCACAAGUAGAGUGAUCGAAAGAUGAAAAGAACUUUGGAAAGAGAGUCAAACAGUACGUGAAAUUGUUGAAAGGGAAGCACUUGCACCCAGACUUGCUUUCAGUUGAUCAACUAUCAUUUUUGAUUGUGCACUUAAUUGUAAGCAGGCCAGUAUCAGUUAGAGUGGUGGGGCAAAGGUGUUGAGAAUGUAGCUCUUUCGGGAGUGUUAUAACUCUUCAUGUCAUAUCAUCUGCUCUGACUGAGGUUCGCACUUUGGUGAGGAUGCUGGCUUAAUGGGUGCAAGUGACCCGUCUUGAAACACGGACCAAGGAGUCUAACAGUUGUGCAAGUGUUUGGGUAUAAAACCCUUAUGCGUAAUGAAAGUAAAUGGAGGUGAGAACCGCAAGGUGCAUCAUCGACCGAUCCUGAUGUCUUCAGAUGGAUUUGAGUAAGAGCAUAGCUGUUGGGACCCGAAAGAUGGUGAACUAUGCCUGAAUAGGGUGAAGCCAGAGGAAACUCUGGUGGAGGCUCGCAGCGGUUCUGACGUGCAAAUCGAUCGUCAAAUUUGGGUAUAGGGGCGAAAGACUAAUCGAACAUCUAGAGCUGUCCGCAGAGAAUUUUCUCUCUC